rnacentral:rRNA from 1 species
UACGAAGGGGGCUAGCGUUGCUCGGAAUCACUGGGCGUAAAGCGCACGUAGGCGGCUUUUUAAGUCAGGGGUGAAAUCCUGGAGCUCAACUCCAGAACUGCCUUUGAUACUGAGAGGCUUGAGUCCGGGAGAGGUGAGUGGAACUGCGAGUGUAGAGGUGAAAUUCGUAGAUAUUGGGAAGAACACCGGGGGCGAAGGCGGCUCACUGGCUCGUAACUGACGCUCAUGCACGACAGCGUGGGGAUCAAACAGG